AUUGAACGCUGGCGGCAUGCUUUACACAUGCAAGUCGAACGGCAGCGCGGGCUUCGGCCUGGCGGCGAGUGGCGAACGGGUGAGUAAUGCAUCGGAACGUGCCCAGUAGUGGGGGAUAGCCCGGCGAAAGCCGGAUUAAUACCGCAUACGACCUGAGGGUGAAAGCGGGGGACCGAAAGGCCUCGCGCUAUUGGAGCGGCCGAUGUCGGAUUAGCUAGUUGGUGGGGUAAAGGCUUACCAAGGCGACGAUCCGUAGCUGGUCUGAGAGGACGACCAGCCACACUGGAACUUGGACACGGCCCAGACUCCUACGGGAGGCAGCAGUGGGGAAUUUUGGACAAUGGGGGCAACCCUGAUCCAGCCAUGCCGCGUGCGGGAAGAAGGCCUUCGGGUUGUAAACCGCUUUUGUUCGGGAAGAAAUCCUCUGGGCUAAUACCCCGGGGGGAUGACGGUACCGGAAGAAUAAGCACCGGCUAACUACGUG
rnacentral:rRNA from 1 species